AUUGAACGCUGGCGGCAGGCUUAACACAUGCAAGUCGAGCGGAGAUGAGGUGCUUGCACCUUAUCUUAGCGGCGGACGGGUGAGUAAUGCUUAGGAAUCUGCCUAUUAGUGGGGGACAACAUUCCGAAAGGAAUGCUAAUACCGCAUACGUCCUACGGGAGAAAGCAGGGGAUCUUCGGACCUUGCGCUAAUAGAUGAGCCUAAGUCGGAUUAGCUAGUUGGUGGGGUAAAGGCCUACCAAGGCGACGAUCUGUAGCGGGUCUGAGAGGAUGCUCCGCCAGACUGGGACGGGGACAAGGCCCAGACUCCUACGGGAGGCAGCAGGGGGGAAUAUUGGACAAUGGUGGGAACCCUGAUCCAGCCAUGCCGCGUGUGUGAAGAAGGCCUUAUGGUUGUAAAGCACUUUAAGCGAGGAGGAGGCUACUGAGACUAAUACUCUUGGAUAGUGGACGUUACUCGCAGAAUAAGCACCGGCUAACUCUGUGCCAGCCGCCGCCGUAAGAC
rnacentral:rRNA from 1 species